CAAAGUUCGAACGCACAGCGAAAGGUGCUUGCACCUUUCAAGUGAGUGGCGAACGGGUGAGUAACACGUGGACAACCUGCCUCAAGGCUGGGGAUAACAUUUGGAAACAGAUGCUAAUACCGAAUAAAACUUAGUGUCGCAUGACAAAAAGUUAAAAGGCGCUUCGGCGUCACCUAGAGAUGGAUCCGCGGUGCAUUAGUUAGUUGGUGGGGUAAAGGCCUACCAAGACAAUGAUGCAUAGCCGAGUUGAGAGACUGAUCGGCCACAUUGGGACUGAGACACGGCCCAAACUCCUACGGGAGGCUGCAGUAGGGAAUCUUCCACAAUGGGCGAAAGCCUGAUGGAGCAACGCCGCGUGUGUGAUGAAGGCUUUCGGGUCGUAAAGCACUGUUGUAUGGGAAGAACAGCUAGAAUAGGAAAUGAUUUUAGUUUGACGGUACCAUACCAGAAAGGGACGGCUAAAUACGUGCCAGCAGCCGCGGUAAUACGUAUGUCCCGAGCGUUAUCCGGAUUUAUUGGGCGUAAAGCGAGCGCAGACGGUUUAUUAAGUCUGAUGUGAAAGCCCGGAGCUCAACUCCGGAAUGGCAUUGGAAACUGGUUAACUUGAGUGCAGUAGAGGUAAGUGGAACUCCAUGUGUAGCGGUGGAAUGCGUAGAUAUAUGGAAGAACACCAGUGGCGAAGGCGGCUUACUGGACUGCAACUGACGUUGAGGCUCGAAAGUGUGGGUAGCAAACAGGAUUAGAUACCCUGGUAGUCCACACCGUAAACGAUGAACACUAGGUGUUAGGAGGUUUCCGCCUCUUAGUGCCGAAGCUAACGCAUUAAGUGUUCCGCCUGGGGAGUACGACCGCAAGGUUGAAACUCAAAGGAAUUGACGGGGACCCGCACAAGCGGUGGAGCAUGUGGUUUAAUUCGAAGCAACGCGAAGAACCUUACCAGGUCUUGACAUCCUUUGAAGCUUUAUAAGAUAGAAAUGUUCUCUUCGGAGACAAAAUGACAGGUGGUGCAGGGUCGUCGUCACCUCCUGUCGUGAGAAGGUUGGGGUUAAUUCCUGCCACCAAGGGCACCCCUUUUUGUUGUUUGCCGCCAUUCUAAUGGGGACCCUACCGAGAAAGGCCGUGGAGAAACCGAAGGAAAGGGGGG
rnacentral:rRNA from 1 species